AGCUAAUGAAUCGUUUCA
rnacentral:miRNA from 1 species